rnacentral:rRNA from 1 species
UACAGAGGGUGCGAGCGUUAAUCGGAAUUACUGGGCGUAAAGCGUGCGUAGACGGUUAUUUAAGUCGGGUGUGAAAGCCCCCGGGCUCAACCUGGGAACUGCAUUCGAGACUGCCUUGCUCGAGUAUGGGAGAGGGAAGUGGAAUUUCCGGUGUAGCGGUGAAAUGCGUAGAUAUCGGAAGGAACAUCAGUGGCGAAGGCGACUUCCUGGACCAAUACUGACACUCAGGUGCGAAAGCGUGGGGAGCAAACAGG